rnacentral:lncRNA from 1 species
UUCGUCGGAUCUUGCUUUUCUAGCAACCACAGGGCGGAUGAUGGGCAGAGAUGAAAGCCCACUGAUUGUUGGUCAUUUUAAAACCAAAACCAUCGCAAACAGACGUCGGAAACUCCUCCUACGACAGUGAGAAGUUGUUGCCUUCCUCACCAAUUCAUGCCAUAUGCUUAUGUUGCCAACUGGUGUCGUCGUUGUUGAUGCACUCGCGAGAGUCUUCUCCAUCUCCAACCAGCUUUUCCGCCUCUCAAACCAGCUUCUUUUCCUUCUGCCAUUAAUGGCAGCCAAACUUUCUGUGUCGCUCUCUCUCUCUCUCUCGCUCUCUUCUUCUUCUUCCUCGUCCUUUCUUUCUUUUCUUUCUUUACUCAUAUCCAUAAUUAGUC